AUUGAACGCUGGCGGCAGGCCUAACACAUGCAAGUCGAGCGGAUGAAGGGAGCUUGCUCCUGGAUUCAGCGGCGGACGGGUGAGUAAUGCCUAGGAAUCUGCCUGGUAGUGGGGGAUAACGUCCGGAAACGGGCGCUAAUACCGCAUACGUCCUGAGGGAGAAAGUGGGGGAUCUUCGGACCUCACGCUAUCAGAUGAGCCUAGGUCGGAUUAGCUAGUUGGUGGGGUAAAGGCCUACCAAGGCGACGAUCCGUAACUGGUCUGAGAGGAUGAUCAGUCAAACUGGAAAUGAAGAACGGGCCAAGACCCUAAGGGGGGGCGGGAGGGGGAAAUUUGGGAAAAGGGGGAAAGCCUGAACCAGCCAUGCGGCGUGUGUGAAGAAGGUCUUCGGAUGGUAAAGCACUUUAAGUUGGGAGGAAGGGCAGUAAGUUAAUACCUUGCUGUUUUGACGUUACCAACAGAAUAAGCACCGGCGAACUUCGU
rnacentral:rRNA from 1 species